AGAGUUUGAUCAUGGCUCAGAGCGAACGCUGGCGGCGUGCUUAACACAUGCAAGUCGAACGUGAAAUGUAGCAAUACAGAGUAAAGUGGCGUACGGGUGAGUAACACGUGGGUAAUCUACCGAAGAGUUCGGAAUAACCGGUCGAAAGGCUGGCUAAUACUGGAUAGUUCAAGCGCAUUAUAAUGGUGCGAUUGGGAAAGGGAGCGGGCAACCGCCUUCGCUUUUUGAUGAGCCCGCGUCUGAUUAGCUAGUUGGUGAGGUAAUGGCUCACCAAGGCAGAGAUCAGUAGCUGGUCUGAGAGGAUGAUCAGCCACACUGGAACUGAAACACGGUCCAGACUCCUACGGGAGGCAGCAGUGGGGAAUCUUGCGCAAUGGACGAAAGUCUGACGCAGCCACGCCGCGUGAGUGAAGAAGGCCUUCGGGUUGUAAAGCUCUGUCGGAGGGGACAAAAACUCCAUAGGUGAAUAGCCUGUGGACUUGAUGGUACCCUUAAAGGAAGCACCGGCUAACUUCGUGCCAGCAGCCGCGGUAAUACGAAGGGUGCAAGCGUUGCUCGGAAUUAUUGGGCGUAAAGGGUAGGUAGGUGGUGAUGUAUGUCUGAAGUGAAAUCCCUGAGCUUAACUCAGGACGUGCUUUGGAAACGGCAUCACUAGAGUACUGGAGAGGUUCGCAGAAUUCCCGGUGUAGCGGUGAAAUGCGUAGAGAUCGGGAGGGAUACCAGAGGCGAAGGCGGCGAACUGGACAGUAACUGACACUCAACUACGAAAGCGUGGGUAGCAAACAGGAUUAGAUACCCUGGUAGUCCACGCUGUAAACGAUGGGUACUAGAGAUGGCGGGAGUUGACCCCUGCCGUCUCGGAGCUAACGCAAUAAGUACCCCGCCUGGGAAGUACGGUCGCAAGACUAAAACUCAAAGGAAUUGACGGGAGCCCGCACAAGCGGUGGAUUAUGUGGUUUAAUUCGAAGCAACGCGCAGAACCUUACCUGGGUUUGACAUCCUUUGAUAACUGCAGAGAUGCAGCUUUCGUAGCAAUACGACAAAGUGACAGGUGCUGCAUGGCUGUCGUCAGCUCGUGUGGUGGCAUGUCGGGUUAAGUCCCUCAACGAGCGCAACCCCUGUCUUUAGUUGCCAGCAUUAAGUUGGGCACUCUAGAGAGACUGCCGUGGUUAACACGGAGGAAGGCGGGGAUGACGUCAAGUCCUCAUGGCCCUUACACCCAGGGCGACACACGUAAUACAAUGGCUGGUACAGAGGGAAGCGAACUCGCGAGAGGGGGCAAAUCUCAAAAAGCCAGCCUCAGUUCGGAUUGGAGUCUGCAACUCGACUCCAUGAAGGCGGAAUCGCUAGUAAUCGCGGAUCAGCACGCCGCGGUGAAUACGUUCCCGGGCUUUGUACACACCGCCCGUCACACCAUGGGAGCUGACUCAACCAGAAAACAGUCAGGGUAACCGUAAGGGGCCCUCUGUUGAAGGUGGGGUUGGUGACUGGGGUGAAGUCGUAACAAGGUA
rnacentral:rRNA from 1 species